rnacentral:rRNA from 1 species
AGCGAACGCUGGCGGCAGGCCUAACACAUGCAAGUCGAACGCCCCUUCGGGGGAGUGGCGGACGGGUGAGUACCGCGUGGGAAUGUGCCCUUUGGUACGGAACAACUGAGGGAAACUUCAGCUAAUACCGUAUGUGCCCUACGGGGGAAAGAUUUAUCGCCAUUGGAGCAGCCCGCGUUGGAUUAGGUAGUUGGUGGGGUAAUGGCCCACCAAGCCGACGAUCCAUAGCUGGUCUGAGAGGAUGAUCAGCCACACUGGGACUGAGACACGGCCCAGACUCCUACGGGAGGCAGCAGUGGGGAAUCUUGCGCAAUGGGCGAAAGCCUGACGCAGCCAUGCCGCGUGAAUGAUGAAGGUCUUAGGAUUGUAAAAUUCUUUCACCGGGGAAGAUAAUGACGGUACCCGGAGAAGAAGCCCCGGCUAACUUCGUG